AGCCCUGUGGUGGAGUACCACGUUGGGUUGCAAACCCAGAGACGCAGACUAAGGCCCUGCCGGGGCUU
rnacentral:tRNA from 1 species